rnacentral:lncRNA from 12 species
UUUCAAUUUUUUAAUCAUGCUUUAAAUUCUGAGAAGCAUUUAAUGAUCCAUUAAUGUAAUCAUUUAAUUAUUUAAUUUUUAAUAAAAUCCUAAUAUGUAAUAUUUUAUGACUGAGAAGCACAUUGAUAUGUGUGUGUGUGUGUGUGUGUGUAAUGUCACAGUGUCUAAAACUGUGAUCUGUGGUUAUGUGGUUUAAGUGUUGAUGAUCGGAGCUGCAUAUUUAGACAAAGGGUGCGUGUUAACAUCAAUAACCCGUAAAAUAAAGAUAUCCUAUACUACUAAAUCCAGAUAUUUUGUAUUAUAAAAUAUGACACUGUUUGCCUUCAUUUGGUACGCUUAAUAUCUCCUAAAACCAGCCUGAUUUUGGAAACCCAGCAUCAAUGUUAUGGAAUUUUUGUCAUGAGAGCUACUUCUGCUUCCCACAUUAACAUCAGUACUUUUUUGGUUAAGAAGAAGCUAUUGAGUGUUAAGACUCAGUCGCUGUCAUUGCUGUAUCUCAGAAAGCUGUAGUCUCUAAUCUAUCACAGCAUGAACUGGCUUUAUAUCCUUUUAUUGGCCCUUUGGUCAGCUUUCAAUUUGUCUGAUGCAGUGUACUGGAAUUAUCCUACAACACCAGCACCAACAACAUCUUCAAGUCUUUGCUGGUACUGGUACAACAGACCAUGUAACUGGGCCACUAGUAAGUAUAUUCAUAAACUAUAUGACAUUCAGCUGUUCAUUUCCUUGUUAUUAGUUACUAUUUAGUUUUUGUAAUGUUUAUAGUGUUUAUGAAGCCCUUAUUUUCUAUAUCAUAUUUCAUAUAUGACCGUCAACUGUUCAAACCUAUGUUUCUCUUUGUUUUACUCAUUUAUUGAAGCUCAAACACCAUACAGGAGGAAUGUGUAUUACCAGACGCAGAGUAAGUCAGAUUUGCACUGUGGCACUGAUGCAUAAUGUUGGCUAUAAUGCUAUGAUGCAUAAUGUCUCUGAUUUAAUUUAAUUAUAUAUAUAUAUAUAUAUAUAUAUAUAUAUAUAUAUAUAUAUAUAUAUAUAUAUAUAUAUAUAUAUAUAUAUAUAUAUAUAUAUAUAUAUAUAUAUAUAUAUAUAUAUAUAUAUAUAUAUAUAUAUAUAUAUAUAUA